rnacentral:rRNA from 1 species
AGUGAACGCUGGCGGUAGGCCUAACACAUGCAAGUCGAACGGCAGCACAGGAGAGCUUGCUCUCUAGGUGGCGAGUGGCGGACGGGUGAGGAAUACAUCGGAAUCUGCCCAGUCGUGGGGGAUAACGUAGGGAAACUUACGCUAAUACCGCAUACGACCUUCGGGUGAGAGAGGGGGAUCGCAAGACCUCUCGCGAUUGGAUGAGCCGAUGUCGGAUUAGCUAGUUAGCGGGGUAAUGGCCCACCAAGGCGACGAUCCGUAGCUGGUCUGAGAGGAUGAUCAGCCACACUGGAACUGAGACACGGUCCAGACUCCUACGGGAGGCAGCAGUGGGGAAUAUUGGACAAUGGGCGCAAGCCUGAUCCAGCCAUACCGCGUGGGUGAAGAAGGCCUUCGGGUUGUAAAGCCCUUUUGUUGGGAAAGAAAUCUUUCAGGCUAAUACCCUGGGAGGAUGACGGUACCCAAAGAAUAAGCACCGGCUAACUUCGUG